AACAUAGCAUUAAGCAGGUUAAUUAAAUUAACAGGUACCAUGAUACAGCAGCAACUACUAAGCAUGAUAUGAAACUACUCUGAUACUGAUAAAUCACCAUCUUAGAUCUCCAUAACCAUAUCUCUCUUGGCUCACCGGCCAAACAAUAUACCAUCUCGAUCACCUCGUGAUCACAGCCAAACGGUGAUCUUUCCGGCGAUCACAACCAUGACCAACACUUGGUCUCAACAUCAUCAUCAACAUCAUGCCAAUCUGUACUGCUCAAAAUAUCCACAUAUAAAUCACCUAUAAGUCAUUCCGUCAUGUGAGUGUUGAUCGAACGGUGGGACCUAGUACGAACACAUGCCCAUGACCGAGGACGCGGCUAUCGAUAGAUUAAAUACACUCUCCAGAGGUAGCACACUGUACCCACACCACGGAACCCAUGACCUCGCACUCCCAUUCGGGUGGACCAACAGCGUUCCGACAAAACCGAUCUACUGCCAUGAUACUCUCCCGGCCACUCUGACUCACUCCCCACUGGGCUAGUCCUGGGUGGCCCCGUGUCUACCAAAGACACAACAGCCACCGUCGUGGCCAAAACAAUAAACGGUCCCACACAUGGGCAACCCGGGUACAACAACAACAACGGGCACACAAGGUUAUGUCUGCUUACCGGGCCAGGGUACCGCACGCCCAUAACCUUCCCUAGUUGGAGGCACUGGCGAGAGGCACGACAAUAGACUGCAUUAGGGUCUUCCCAUAAGGGCAAAUGUGGUUGCACUGGAGAAAGCCCGGUUCGAUGGCACCUGACCAACUUAAUGACGGAAUUUAUCCCCAAAAAUUAUAACUGUGAUACUGAUACUCCGAUAUCAACUAUCAAACUAUAAUCCAAGUCAUAGCAAUAUCCAACAAAUAAUCCAAGCAUAAUAUCAUCAUCUCAAAAUACUCCAAGGGUAGCACAACACUACUGUCAUGAUGAAUCCGAAAACAAUAAUCCUACUACUCCAAUAACAAGAAUAAAGCUAUUUAGCUAAGAUCCACAUGUAAACAUCAUCUCCGAAAAUAAUGGUCCAAGCAACAGAACAUCAACUAGCAUCAUGAAAAUAAUCAUACUAACCACUAAUAAUCCAAAGGUAGCAUGAUAUCCAAAGUAAUGCUCCAAAAUAUAAUAACAGAUACCAUCAUGGAAAUAAUCAUAAUAGCCACUAAGAAUCCAAAGGCACAUGUCAUCCACAUAAUCAUCAAAAUAUAAGUCCUAGUACUCCAAGCAAUAUCGUGGCAUUAGCAAGCUCAAAACAAUACUCCGAGAGAUGCCAUGAACAAAUCACAAGUAGCUAGAACAAUAUUUUAAACAAGUUUAAAUAAAGAAACCAUGUCACUGCAUUGCAAUCAUGCAAAUGGAGGGUGUGGCUUGCCUGGGGUGGAAGAAAUCACCGGGAGAAAGUGCGAGAAACUCGCGGAAAGGAUCGCCGGAAAACAUACUCUCUCGGAGGGGGCUGAAUAAGGGCAGGGGCAAAAUGGUCAUUUUCAGAAUGUCAAAACAUAAUGAAAAUGAUUCCAACAGAACGGGCUCGACGAAACGAAGAAAUGGGCUUUGGAAUCACCUCAUUUGGAGUUGGGAGUAAAAAGAUAUAAGGGUUUUUCUGCCAGGGACCUAUCUGUGAAAUGUUUUCUGCAAACAAGCCCCUGACUGAGAAAACUAAAAACGCAUUCAGGCAAAAUACGCUUUCUGUAAAAGAAAACGCACUUUCAGCCAAGUAGACAGAGAAUACGCUUUCGAACAAGGAAAACGUAUUCUGCUCUAGAACAGAGGCAAAGUACGCUUUGCUCAAGGGAAAACGUACUCUCACAAAGACGCGUCCACUUAGCUGACUGGACCGGGCCGGGUCAACGCCCAAAGGCUGACACACGGGGCCCGCGGCCAGCUGGCAGGGAGGGGGUCGGGGCCUUCGUCACCUACCUCUCACCCGUGCCUGGCCGCGGCAGAGCCAGCCCCAACGAGGCCUGCCGGCGCUACCGACCACCACAGGCAGCGCCCGACCUAUCCACGGAUGCAGGGGAACGAGGCGGAGGCGACCACGGGGGUUGUAGAAGAUGGGGAGCUCGAGAAUGGCAGCUGCGUUCGCUGCGGCACACGGCCGGCGUCGGUGAUGAUGAAGCCGAGGCCAUGGUGGAUCCGCCGACGAACUGAGCUAAGGGAGAGAUGCGCCGGGGAGUGGGUGGAGAUGUGGCGGUGGAGAGAGAGAGGGGAUGCUUGGCUCGCUCGAAUUUAGCCGGAGCACCGCGGCGGCCAUGGCGGCCUAGAGCAGCGAGGAGGGGCUCUGGAGCUUGGGCGAGAGGCUGGGCGGGGUUCUGGGAGUGAGGGGGAGGCGAUGGAGAGCUUGGGAGGGGCUCGGGUGGCCUUAUAUAGGCAGAGGGGGAGGAGGCCGAGCUGGCGUCGCCGUGGACACGCGGCCGGCACCGCGGACACGUGGGCACACGCAUGGGCUCGUCGUUAGGCGACGGAGGAGGAACAUGAGAGACUCUCACGGGGCAGAGGAGGCCAACGGAGCACAGGUGUUAGGACCCCGAUUCCAAGUCACAUCGAUCUAGCCGGUAACACCUCAUAUCACUUUGCGGCCUCACGCACGGUAUUCCCACGGGUGUCGCCUUACCAUGGCCUGGGACCGUUUGCGCCUUUUGGCUCACAUAUAUGAUAGUGUCGCUAGCAUCCAUAUGACAGAGAACCCGGGCCGACAUGACUAGUCGUGAACCCAAAGUGGCACUAACUUACGGGGACAGGCAUACAUGAAUCAACAUCGAGCAUGUCGGUCAGCAGCGUGCGAAUCCGGGCUGUAGCACUGGGCUAACAGGACUCUGGUGAACCGGGCUGUAGCAGGCUAGGCAGGACUCCGGAUGUCACCGCGUGACAUUUCCCCGAAGGGACAGACACAGGAACGAAGUGAAUCACAUGCCGGCCAGUCAAGUGUUCCGGAGCAGUAGUGCUGGGCUAGCAGGACUCCGGUGAACCGGGCUGUAGCGGACUACUAUGGCUCAUGGAAGCACAAGACUACAUUUCCCCAUAAGAGAGGCUACCAAGGAUAGACAACUAGGUUGUCAGAUCCCACACAUACCAAGCAUUUCAAUCAUACACACAGUAUGCUCGAUAUGUGUAAAUACAACAUGGCAUCACAGCAUAACUCUACGACUCAAGUAUUUAUUCAUUAGGCUCCGAGGAGCCAAGUAUUACAAUCACGGUCUCAUGACCCAACAUACAGAGCAUACAAGCAUCGAGCGGAAGCAUAAACAUGUCUGAGUACAGACAACUACAAAUGAAAAAGGCUGAGAAGCCUGACUAUCUACACGACCCUCCCAAGGGUACAAGAUCGUAGCUGAGGUAACAAGCUAAACAUCGAAGUCCACGCGGAACUACUAGCGAGACUGACGUCUCUCUGCAAAACAUAAAAUAGGCAAACGUGAGUACAAUUGUACCCAGCAAGACUUACAUCAGAACUAGCUACAUAUGCAUUAGUAUCAACAAAGGGGGUGCUGGAGUUUGACUGCAGCAAGCCAGCUUUGACUCAGUGGCUAUCCUAAACUAUGACUGCAAGUAACUCUUUUGAGGUGGAGCACACGAGUCCACAUAUUCACCAUAUCAAUACACCACUAUGGAUCUGCUCCCGUCUCCCUACGAGAAGGCCAUCCAUAGCACUCAUGCUUAUCUUGCGAGUUUUAGAGUAUCCACUUUCACUUGUCUACGAACUAUACAGGCAACCCAGAAGUCCUUUACCGUGGACCCGGCUAUUCGAAUAGAUCAUUUAUAACCCUGCAGGGGUGUACUUCUUCACACAUGUUUCCACCACUUAGCGUCUGCACACGACAUGUGCUCGGCAGACUUCAAGCGAAAGCCGACGUGGGUGUAGACCACGACCUAACUAACCACACAAGUCUCUAGUCCAGGUUCAUCGCCUAUUCGGGUUCCAUCCGCGAGGAGAUCCAGCCGGGGUUUCGCUCACAGCCCCAAACGAUGUGUGCAGGGUUCCCGAGACACCAAACGGGCGCUCGAUACACCGGGCCACGGUGUAUCUACCGCAUCAUAGACCACCCCUAGGGUCACCGCUACGCACGACCUCCAACACAUAUCCUACAAACACCAGAAACUAGUUGCAACUCCUGGACAGAGGACAGGGCGGUUAAUAAGUCGAGCGGGGUCAUAUUUCAGGGCCCGACGUGUGGUAGUAGCUGUUCAUGGAUCACAAACACAGAACUUAGUUCCUAAGGACGGUUUCAAUGAGACAACCCACCAUGUACUCCUACAUGGCCUCUCACCGCUACCUUUACCAAAUCGUGUUCACACACUUAGCUCACACACAGUAGGACAUGUUCAUCACCCUUCCAAUUCAUCCCCGAUGAAUCAGACCUGACUCAACUCUAAGCAGUAGCAGGCAUGAAAAAAAAGCAUGAAUGAGUAGGCACAUAAGGGCUCAAACAACUCCUACUCAUGCUAGUGGGUUUCAUCUAUUUACUAUGGCAAUGACAGGUCAUGCAGAGGAAAAGGGGUUCAACUACCGCAACAUGUAACAGUUGAAUCGUUGUUAUCCUAAUGCAGUAAAAUAGAGCAGGAGCGAGAGAGUGGGAUUGUAUCAGGAUGAACAAGGGGGUUUUGCUUGCCUGCCACUUCUGAAGAUAGCAUAGCUCUUCAUCGGUGUCAUCGAACUCAUCGCAGGAACAACGUCUACUGAGGGGAAACAACACCGGCAAACAGAGAAGGAACACAAUCAAUGCAAUGCAACAAUAUGAUGCAUGAAUGUGACAUGGCAAUAUGCAGUUGAUUGAGCUAAUGCAACUAGCAACAAGUUAAAUGAAGUUGGUUUGAACCCUAGGUUCAAAUUCAAACUCCAUAUGGGCUUAUUUAAAUGCCAAUUAUGCAAAUUGUCAUAUACAGCAACCUUAGGUUGUUCAAAGAUGCAUGAAGAUGCCAUAAACAGAUUCCUUGAAUUUUUCUCAUAAUUUUUCAUAUAUAAUUUAUUUCAUUCUGAGUUAUGGUUGAAUUUCUAUGAAUUUUUGAAGUUUUGGAUAUUUUCUAAAAUAAAUAAAUCAUUUCUGAUUUAUUUUAAAUCCCAAAAUACAUUUACUGCGUCAGCAUGACGUAGGUGUGACGUCACCAAGUAAACAGGGGCGGUCCAGGUCAAACCUGGGCUGUGGGUCCCACGUGUCAGUCUCUAAAGCUUUAAUUAAAAAGGUUUAGUUUUAAACCAUGGAUUACCUGGGCAGUGGGGCCCAUUGUCAGUGACACAGGAUUUAGUUAGCGGGGUGAUUAACCCCUAACAGUGGUAAUUAGCACUAAUUUUAGCCCUAAACUAAUUAGUCAGAGGCCGGCCCCACAUGUCAUGGACACAGGGUGGGGUCCAGCCGAGGUCAAAGUGGGUCAAACCCACCGGCAUUUUAGUCGUCGGCGGGGUCAAACGCGGCGGAGGGCGUCGGAAACGCUCCUCCGACGACCAUUUGAGCGGCGGAGCGGCUCUGCGGAACCAGUGCACUGCGGCGCAUCGAGUGGUGGCAGUGCGAGGUGUUGGGGGGGCCGGAGUUGAGCGCGGCGUCGACCUCGGCGGCGGCCGAAGCUCGGACAACGACGGAACCAGCGCUAUGGUGCAUGGUAGGGGGAGGUGUUGGUGUCUACGAGCUUAUGGAGACGUGCUGAGCACGAUGGGCUGCUCGGACGCGAACGGCGCCCGCUCUAGCCACGGUGGCUUCAUGAAUGGCGGCGAGGACCUCUCGGCUCCGACGUCUAGUGCAGCUAGGGAACGAGGACGAGCUCGGGGAGCAGGGGAAAUACGGCGGGGCUCACAGUGGGGUCGAAGCGGAGCUCAACAGACUCGGGGAGGCGUCGGGGACAGCGUACGGUCGCCGGCGAUCUCGGUGCAAAGGCGGCAGGGUCGAGCUCGAUGGCGAGGCUCCACUGCUUCUGGAGAUGCGUGACUCGUCGAGGACAAAGAGGAGGUUGUAGCGGAGCUCCCGGACAUGGCUCCAGGGCGAGGGGUGGCCGGAGAGCGCGGUGGCAGCGAGCGGUGGGGACGGGUGCGCUCGGGUGCGUAAGAGAGAGAGAGCCAGAGGAGGGGGGAGAGCUCGAGGGAGAGAGAGAGGUCAUGGGUGUGCGUGGCGUCGCGGGAGGCGUCCAUGGCGACGAGGGGGCAGCCAGGCAGGGUGGAGGUGGCGCGCGCGCGGCGAGCACACGCCCUCCUGCCUACUGGCAGGAGGUUGAAGACGGUGCGGCUGCUGGGCUGGGCCAGCCGGCUUGCUGGGCUGCCAGGUGAGCGUCAGGUAAGGCCCAGGUAAAACCCUUUUCCCCUUUUGUUUCUGUUUUCUAUUUCUGGCAUUUGUUUUAAUUUGGUUUUUUAACAAAAUCAAUUUAUUUUCUUCUGAAAAUUAUUGUAGGAACUAGUUGGAUUGUUCCAAAGCCCCACACUAAAAAUCAGAAUUAUUGGACAUAUAUUAAAUAUAUAACUAAUGUAAAUCCAAUGCAAAUAGUUAUUGGAUUAACUCAAAUAGCCAAAAAUAAAUACUUCUAAGCUCCCAAAAAUAUUGGUUGGAAUUUUACCUCUAACCAAUAUUUUUAGAGAAAAACAGGAACAUUUUCUUGGGCCUAUUUGAAGCAAUUUUAAUCUUGAUCAUUUUCAGAAAGAUUUCUGAGGCUUUCUCAUGUCCCCAUUUCAAAUUCACUGAAAUUGUAACAUGAUGCACACAUGACUAGCUAGUCUAGGUCAUACCAGAACUAGGGAUGUGACAACGGGGAGGAUGACAACGGCGACGAACAGAGCCAAACCGCCACUGUGCUCUCGUGGGCAUUCAGCGGCGAGCAUCGGUGAGCGUCGGUGAGGAAGCGGACGAAGGGGGAGAGGGGUCCAGGGGAACUGCGACGAUGAGAGGAAGACAAUGGACACGGUCACGCAUGCUAAGGCGACAAGAGGAGGAGGUGCCGAAGCACAAACAGCCACUAGGCGCGGCCACUGCACACAGAGCGCGUGCACAGUGAUGCCAUUAACAAAGUCACCGCGUGCACUGGCAUGUAGCGGGGGAGAGAGGCUUGAACAUGUUGUCUAGUGGUAAGUUCAUCCAGGGUAGGUUUCAACUCUGGUGGUAGCUCGGUUAAAAGUGAUCUGGUUAAACGGUAAGAACCCUCUGAAGUUUACUGCAGUAAACUUGGGUGAGCACUAGUGAUCAACAGGAAGGGUUUUGGAUCCAAUGGACUUGUCUGCGAGGCUGAGGUAAAGAAGGACUUUCAUCCUGGUAACUUUGAGAAAGUUUGGACCAAGAUAAAUCAUAGUUGCUUUGCAACUGACCAAAAUGGUCCAGAAACUUGAUCAGGAAGGUGCACUCACAUGGAGUGUCAAAUUGAGCUCAAAUUGGGCAAUGAAGAGCCAUUUGGUCUUAUGAAGAUGCUCAAAAAGUCCAAUACCAAUUGGCCAAGCCAAACUGGUACUUGCUUCACAAACAUCUCCUCUGGACAGAAACUUGCAAAACCUCUAGAGGCAUAAUGAAUUGAUGAACCAUUCCCAAAAUGGGUGGAGGUAGGUUAUAUGUAUAAUAGAAGGCCUAGAAAAAUUGGUAGCCAUAAUGGAGCAAGAUAAAAUACACUUGCUUCACAAACUAAAAUUUUGGGCAGAAUCAAAGAAUUGAAGAUGAGCUCACAUGGAGGCAUUACUUGAGCUCUACUUUGGUGGAGGGCUACGAUAUGAUGAUAUGAGGGAUCAUGCAAAAUGGCAACUCAUUUGGAUAUGCCUAGCUUGCACCUCCUUCACAAAGCUUCUUUCUGGGUAGAAACUUUGGAAAAUCAUAAUUAAAUAAUCUCUAGGCAAAUGAGGUUGCAUUUUGGCAUGUGGCAAUGAUAUGGACAGGAAAAGGUGUCCAAGGAGUUUGAGGUCAAUUUGGAAAAGGAAAAUAGCACUUGCUUCACAAUGUGCCGUUUAGGGCACAAUAGGAAAUGAAUUAUUUGAGCAAGAUGAUAAACAUGACAAAUGAAAUAUUUUGCCAUAUUUGAGAAAUAUAUGACCCAAACAAUUUAUGAGAAUUAUUUGGGAAUUUUUGGAGUGAUGGAAUUAAAGGUUGCUUCACAACCUAGGGUAGACAUGGUUAUUCCUUUAAUAGAAAAAGGAAUAUUCCUAAGAAAAAGAAAUUAGGUUUUGGUCAAACAGUGGAGUGACUUGAUCUUGGCAAGGUUUUGAGAAUGAUGAGCCACUUGGGAGGGAAAAAGAGGAUGAUUUCCCAGGUGACAAGGCCACAGAACCACUCCAAAAAGAAAAACAGAGCAAAACCAAUAAAUCAAAAAGAAAAAGAAAAGGGCCAAAAUCCAGGCUGUUACAACUCUCACUCCCUUAAAGAAAUCUCUUCCUCGAGAUUUAGUUGCUCUGGGAACAAGUAUGACUUGAGGAUACCGUUUCCAACUCGGAUAUCCUUUUUCCUUUAAUUAUUAUUCCCCCAAGAAUUUCAGAUGAUCAACUUACCCUGCCCUCGGGUGGAUUGCUCCACCUUUCCCCAAAUUCUAACGGGUUUUUGCUCACACACCAAAUCCUUUUGCUGAUGUUGAUUCUUUCAUAUCUGCGGUGAUAUCCAAUGGAUCUGAGCAUAAAUUUCCUUUUGUCAUGAAAACCUUUUUACUUCUAUCAUGGGGUUGCUUCAAAUAAGUGCAAGCCUUCUGGGUUCAAUAAAUACUUAGAAUUAAUCAUGGCCAUCUUCUAACAAGAUCUGGCUGCUCAUAGGUGGUACUGAUUCAUCUUGAUUUAUUUCCUUUGGCUCGAGCAUGUGGCAUAUACCAGAGAUUUGACUGCCUUCUGUCGUGACCAAUAUAACGGUGUAUGGAGUUAUAGUUAUGUCAUACCUCAAACAUUUACAUCUUGAGACUUUGCCCGACAGGGGCUGACGGACAAAUGCUUUUCCUGAUAGACAGACCGGGUACUUGAUUCCGUCGGCGAGUAUACCGGGUCUGAGCUGAUUAUUCGGCUUUUGACUUUCUUAUUUUGUCGGUAUACCCAUUUUUGGUAAUACACUGUGAUAUGUUUUAACAAUGCCGCUGAGGUCAAUCAUACAAGAAGGUGACAAGAGUUCAUGAGAUCCCCUUGUAGGUGCGGAAUAUUGGCCUUCGUGGUCAUUGUUAAGACUGUUACUUCUGCGAUGUCAUAUUCAGAUCUUGUCGAUCCUUGCAUCACAUAAGGUGUGUAUCUCUGCUUAUCUUCAUUUGCAUGAUUUAUGAGGUUGUUGGGUCCGUACCUUUCUUAGGUAUAUCUGCUGAAUUAGUGCCGUAUCCCAUAUGAGUGACCGAUCUGACCCGGGAUACAUGCGUACCAUAUGUAUAAUAAUCAUACCCAGCUGAAUACCAUCUUAUUGCGGCAGGCAUAUGUUUUGACUGAAUUGUUCCUCUGACAAAAUUAUUGCAAAUCUGAUCCUUGAGAUGUACUGCCAUAUACUGCCAACUCAUCAUAUAAUCUCUGAGAAUAGUGCAUAGUGUGGUACUGACGCGGACUGGGUGGCUUACGAGGGAAGCCAUCCGAGUAGCUUGCUGAGGAAGACUCUUAGAUUCUGCUCGAGGCUUUUGUCUGGGUAGCGUGCAGAAGAAAUCUCGAUAGCUUACACACGAAGCUUGGUCGGAUUAUUGUGCUAGAGAAACUUGAGUUCCGUACUUGAGAAGCUUCUCCUCGGGUUUUUCUUGUUGAGAAAAAUUCAUUUCUGUCUGUCAAAAGCAUUUACCGAGGUAUCUUGUUGAGAAAGACCGGGUACCGUGGGCCGGAAAUUGUUCACAUAUCAUGCUGAGGAAAAUUUUGAGGAGCCUUGCAAAUUUCUUCCGAUAGCGUGUGGAAUAAUGCUGGGUUUCUUAUAUCCAAAACUUCAUACUGAUAUGCAGACUGAAAUCCAUGCACACGUCCAUAAUAUUUUGCGGCUGAUUAUUUGCAUGAGAAAAUUUGUUUGACUGUCUUCCUUGAGCAUAUCACAUCCCGACUUUCUCUUGGAGUAUAACAUAUUUCAAGUACCAUUUAUUGAUGAGCCAAAACUUUGCCUAUGAUCCAUACCUUUGACUGAAAAAUAUACCGUUGGUCUUGCAUCUGACUUGUCUUUCUGCUGGCUGGAUCAUUACUGCUGUAGAAUUGAUGCGGAUAAUCAAUCCAAGACACAAUUGGCAUUCUGAGCAGAUAUUCCUUAUAUCAUGCGGUUGACUGAGAAGGCCAUAAUGUUUAGCUGAGCUUCUUCCAAAUAUUUGAAAUACUUAUUACUUCUUCGAGUCCGGUGUCAGUUGAUAAGCAACUCUUUAUAGGGGGAAAAUAAUGUAACACUCGGGCCCAAAAAGAAAGAAGCAAAAGAAAACUCAACUAAACAAAAACACACAACAACAAUCAAUUCACACACAAUCAAUAUCACAUAUUACUGCUAGUCACAAAAUAUGCAUGCCUACUUAAGCACACAAAUCUCGUGGGAUCUCCGGCUCUACGAUCUAACAUGCUGUGACAUUGUGCACGAGGUCGAAUAAAUGUGUGGAAGAAUUGGUGUAAACAGCGCUACACCAAGUUCCAGCUUAGCCAGGUAGCAACCUGGACUAGCUCAGAGGUGAGGACGCACUCGGUAAUCAUGUAGCAGGAAACGAAGGUCGCAACCAUAUUAUUAUCAAGCGGACGGAAAAAGAUCCAUACUCGUCCAAGAAAUAGGAUAGCGGAGAAAAAAAUUUGAGGCUGCUGACAUUGCCCUUUCUUGAUAACUACGAUCAUUAAGGGUUGCCAAAAUGACAAGAAAAAGGACGAUCCGGGAUAGAAGCAUGUCUACCACCGAAACAAAAGGUGGGGCUGAAGGAAAUAAUUCGGCGCGAUACCUGAGCACCAUUUUUGCAAACAGUGUCAGGAUCACUUUGCAUCACUCUGCUGGGACAGAAAUGACACCAAACACCGAAGAAUGAGCAAGAAAAGAAACGGGAAGAAAUGCAGGAGCUGAGCUGUAGUGGAUCCGGACCGAUGCCAUCUACACUCACCAGAUUAAACCGUUAGUAAAAAUACUAAGGCAAUAUGCAUGCUAUGCAACAAACAAAUGCAGCAACCUAAUGCGACAAACAAGACAACCUCUAAACUACCGAUUUCUACCAGUUUCUACCGCUCACGCUGACUAGGGCGUCCAACAGCCAGACCUGCUCUGAUACCAAGCCUGUGGCACCCCGGCUCAGAGAAACCGGAAUGCCCCGUAUUCCAGCCCAAAGAUCGAGGAGAAGUCUCUGGAAUACGGCACUGCUUGACAUAGAACAAAUCAGCUCUAUUACAAGAAUAAUAAUACAAGGGUCUGAUGUUACAAAGAAGCACAUCAGCACGGCGACACUACGCCUGCGAUACUACACUUGCUCUAUGCUAGCAGCGAAACAACUCGUAGCAGCGGAAUACUUCUAGCAGCGGAACAACGACGAAGGUGGUGAACUCCACUCCGCAGGGACUCUGGCUGGGACACGAUCUAGCUCGCACGAAUGGCAACCUCGACAAGCAAUCAAACAAUCACAUCAUCACCUGCAAUCUGGCAUGACACGCCAGGUCAGUACAUUGAAUGUACUUGCAAGCUCACAACAACAAAAAACAUCAAGGCAAGACAACAACAUAGCAUUAAGCAGGUUAAUUAAAUUGACAGCUACCAUGAUACAACAGCAACUACUAAGCAUGAUAUGAAACUACUCUGAUACUGAUAAAUCACCAUCUUAGAUCUCCAUAACCAUAUCUCUCUUGGCUCACCGGCCAAGCAAUAUACCAUCUCGAUCACCUCGUGAUCAAAGCCAAACGGUGAUCUUUCCGGCGAUCACAACCAUGACCAACACUUGGUCUCAACAUCAUCAUCAACAUC
rnacentral:lncRNA from 1 species